GAGCAAGCAGAGGCUCCUGAGAUGCCGUGUAUCUAAGAUGAUUUGAAGAACGGCCUAGUUUUAUCAGCUCUACCAUAAUUGCUUUAGAGAAAACUAAUCCUGAGAACCUUUUGCUUGAAAUUCCUUGAGUUUAGAACAAAAGAAAGAAUGAGGAAAAUAAGAAAAUUGAUUUUAUCUAUUUACCUUGAAUGCAGAGAUUUUGCUAAAACAGAUUAAUCCAGAUGGAAUGAAUGAUUAAAUCCUUGAAAUUUACAGCCUUAAGAGGGACUACUUGUUUUCCUUCAAAGGCAGAGUCUUGCUUCAUUGCCAGCCUGGAGUGCAGUGGCAUGAUCUCAGCUCACUGCAACUUUCGCUUCCCAGGUUCAAGUGAUUCUCCUGCCUCAGCCUCCUGA
rnacentral:lncRNA from 13 species